UCCCUUGUAGUUCAACGGCAGAACAGCGCACUGUUAAUGCGUCAAUCGUGGUUCGAAUCCACGCGGGGGAGC
rnacentral:tRNA from 2 species